rnacentral:rRNA from 1 species
CCUACGGGAGGCAGCAGUUGGGAAUAUUGCACAAUGGGCGCAAGCCUGAUGCAGCCAUGCCGCGUGUAUGAAGAAGGCCUUCGGGUUGUAAAGUACUUUCAGCGGGGAGGAAGGGAGUAAAGUUAAUACCUUUGCUCAUUGACGUUACCCGCAGAAGAAGCACCGGCUAACUCCGUGCCAGCAGCCGCGGUAAU